UACGUAGGGGGCAAGCGUUGUCCGGAUUUAUUGGGCGUAAAGAGCGUGUAGGCGGCCAGGUAGGUCAGCUGUGAAAACUCGAGGCUCAACCUCGAGAUGUCGGCUGAAACCAUCUGGCUAGAGUCCGGAAGAGGAGAAUGGAAUUCCCGGUGUAGCGGUGAAAUGCGCAGAUAUCGGGAAGAACACCAGUGGCGAAGGCGGCUCACUGGUCCGGUACUGACGCUGAGGUGCGAAAGCGUGGGGAGCAAACAGG
rnacentral:rRNA from 1 species